UUGUGGGAUCUAGUAUUGUUAUAAACAGAGAAUAUAUUGAUGUUAAACCUUACUUUUAAAACUAAUGUCGAAUUCUUUAUCCAGUCAUUUAAGCUUUGGAGGGUUGAAUGGUUCCCACUAACAAGUAGCACUCAGCCUAAUAUUCCAAUUGAGAGUGAAGUGCAAGGCAAUUCAUGGAAAAGUGUCGAUUGAGACAUGUUGAUAAGAAGUCUGUGUGUUAAAUUAAAAAAAAAAAAUGAAUGUAGCAAAAUCCAUGACUAUAUCUACUCAAGAUUUCAGCCACAUAUUAAAGAAGAACAAUAUCUCAGGACCAGGACUUCUAAAUUUAACUAAUCGACAAACAUUCGUCUACUCUUUUAAAAAUUUACUGUCACCGACACCCAUAGAAGCUUUUACAAAACUAAUUUGAUUUGUAUACCAAUCAUGGGUCUUCACCUAACAGCAAAACAUGAUCUAAUUUGCAACAAAUGAACCGAGACCAUGGCAUUUCGAAAUUGAUUAAUUGAAUAUGAAACAGUUGCCACGGUAUCUUAUGUUGAUGACAGUCGGACUCAGAUACUUUGUUCAAUAAGAUGGUGAGCCGCCGGCCCAAAAGCUGUAGACUCAUAUUAAAGAAAAUAAAAUAACCCACCAUUAAUUCGCAAUAAACAAAUUGCCAUUGAACUUAGCCUAGGUUUGAACAAAAAAUGAUAAUUUAAUUCAAAUGUGCCACAGGCCACAGUAAGAAAUAGAUUAUAUAGAACACAUGUCAAGUGAAUUGAAUCCUCAAAAUCCUCGUAAUCUGUAGGGAUCAAAAGAGAAAAGAAGAAUGAUAGUAAAAGAUACAAAGGUACGACAAAAGUCAAAGAUUAGGGUCCCAUACGUCGAUUAAGUCAAUAUAAAAGUUUCAUCAUAACCUUCGAAGAUGUUAGUCGGAGUCUUAAAUAUGGUCGGCAGGCUAGUAUUAAUAUUACAUUACAUCUUAAGCUAAUUUAACAUCGUAUCCUCGAGUAUCUAGUUGUAGAUUCAUUAUUCGCUUUGUUAACUACUACCAAUAUGAACAUGUUAUCAUUUUCUAUUGUGUAUUUUUUUUUUUAUUAUUAAAAAGAAAAUAAGUGUGCACACAAGACAAGAGGGUGUGGUUGGUAAAUUCAAGCCUAGUUGCCAGGAUAAUUAGAUGAUGGAAAACUAAGCCGAAUCAAAUUGGUUUAGUCAACGUAAUUAAAAUUUUCUCUUGUUCAGAUUUGGUUUAAUUUAGUUUUGAGAGUUAAUCCCCCCCCCCCCCCUCCCCCCAAAAAAAAUAAAUAAAUAAUCGCGUAC
rnacentral:lncRNA from 1 species